UGGGGAAUAUUGGACAAUGGGGGCAACCCUGAUCCAGCCAUGCCGCGUGAGUGAAGAAGGCCUUAGGGUUGUAAAGCUCUUUCAGUCGUGACGAUGAUGACGGUAGCGACAGAAGAAGCCCCGGCUAACUCCGUGCCAGCAGCCGCGGUAAUACGGAGGGGGCAAGCGUUGUUCGGAUUUACUGGGCGUAAAGGGCGCGUAGGCGGUUUGCCAAGUUGAGGGUGAAAUCCCGGGGCUCAACCCCGGAACUGCCUUCAAAACUGGCAGACUUGAGUCCGGAAGAGGAGAGUGGAAUUCCCAGUGUAGAGGUGAAAUUCGUAGAUAUUGGGAAGAACACCGGUGGCGAAGGCGACUCUCUGGUCCGGUACUGACGCUGAGGUGCGAAAGCGUGGGGAGCAAACAGGAUUAGAUACCCGCGUAGUCC
rnacentral:rRNA from 1 species